AGGUAAGCUACUAAGAGCGAAUGGUGGAUGCCUUGACUGGUAAAGGCGAUGAAGGACGUACUAGACUGCGAUAAGCUACGGGGAGCUGUCAAGAAGCUUUGAUCCGUAGAUUUCCGAAUGGGGCAACCCAAUGUAUAGAGAUAUACAUUACCUAUAUAGGAGCGAACGAGGGGAAUUGAAACAUCUUAGUACCCUCAGGAAAAGAAAUCAAUAGAGAUUGCGUCAGUAGCGGCGAGCGAAAGCGCAAGAGGGCAAACCCAGUGCUUGCACUGGGGGUUGUAGGACUGCAAUGUGCAAGAGGUAAGUUUAGCAGAACAUUCUGGAAAGUAUAACCAUAGAGGGUGAUAGUCCCGUAUGCGAAAAACAAACCUUAGCUAGCAGUAUCCUGAGUAGGGCGGGACACGAGGAAUCCUGUCUGAAUCCGGGUCGACCACGAUCCAACCCUAAAUACUAAUACCAGAUCGAUAGUGCACAAGUACCGUGAGGGAAAGGUGAAAAGAACUGAGGUGAUCAGAGUGAAAUAGAACCUGAAACCAUUUGCUUACAAUCAUUCAGAGCCCUAUGU
rnacentral:rRNA from 1 species